rnacentral:rRNA from 1 species
UACGUAGGGUGCGAGCGUUAAUCGGAAUUACUGGGCGUAAAGCGUGCGCAGGCGGUUUUGUAAGCCAGAUGUGAAAGCCCCGGGCUUAACCUGGGAAUGGCAUUUGGGACUGCAAGGCUUGAGUGCGGCAGAGGAGACUGGAAUUCCUGGUGUAGCAGUGAAAUGCGUAGAUAUCAGGAGGAACACCGAUUGCGAAGGCAGCUCGCUGGGACGUAACUGACGCUGAGACGCGAAAGUGUGGGGAGCAAACAGG